GCUUCAUCAGAAACCAACCCUGCUGGGACAUUGAUCUUGGACUUCCAGCUUCCAGAACUUGGAUUUAAAGACGGAGUUUACAAUUGGCUGUUGAACGGAUGACGUAUGCAUUCCUGUUUACAGUGUCUACACAGCACCAAUGCCAGGCUUAACAGUUUCUUCACAGGUUCUCCAGAAGGGGAAUCUAACGUCUAAGAAAUCCGAAGAAUUUCAAACACAUUAUAAGAAAUAUCAUCAGACUGGCCUCUACCCUACUGCCUUUCUUUAUGUUUAAUGUUAUGCAGGAAGAAUUAAAAGAGGUUUGUUUCAGUUUUUUCUUGUAUUGAGAUAGAGCUGUUUUCCAAAGCAUUACACCAUUAUCCCUUCAAUUUAGGGGGAAGAAAAGAUAGGACUAGGGAAUUUUUUUUUGACUGAGUUGAUUAUCCUAACAGUUACUGACUCACAGGAUUAUAUCACCCUUUGCUCUAAAAAAAUCAAUUCAAAAAUUUUACUUUAACCUGUUAAAUAGUUUUUCUAAAAUAUUUACAUGCAAUUCCAGGUACAGUUGGCCCUCCACGUCCUCAGGUUCAGUAAGCUGGGGUUUUGCAUCCUUGUGUUCCGUGUCCUGGGAUUCAGCCAACCCCAGAGCAAAAGGCCCACGAUGGUUGCCUCUGUACUGAACAUGUACAGAGGUUUUUUUUUUCUGUCAUUAUUCCAUGAACAAUACAGUAUAACAAGAAUUUACAUAGCACUUACAUUGUAUUAGGCAUUAUAAUUAAUCUAGCGAUGAUUUAAAGUGUAACGGAGGAUGUGCAUAGGUUAGAUGCAAAUGCUACACCAUUUAUAUAAAGGACUUGAGCAUCCAUGGGUUUUGGUAUACAGUGGGGUCCUGGAACCAAUCCCCCCAAGGAUACUGAGGGACGACAGUAUCCAAAAUUCCUUCUGUUCUUCCUAUAGUCUUGACCUACAAGGCUAUCUUCAUGAUACAAAAGAUAAUAUAAUUUCUGUGCCCACUCAGAGAAAUUCAUAACUUUAAAAAAAAUCACAGAAAUCAGUUACUUAAAGCUAGUAAUGUGAGACACGUAAUAUUAAAUUACUAUCCAAAGAGAGACUGCCUACAAAAGCUUUAGAUUCAGAAAAUCUUUUACUUGUUUAAGAACAUAGUGAAGUGAAUACAGAAAUUUUAAUGUAGAAAUCAGAUAAGUCAGAGAUUUUCAUGAUGUCAUUUCAUGACUUAAACUCUUUCUGAAGAUGUAAUUAUUUUUAAACUACUUUAAUAGUUACAGACCGCAAAAAAUACUUAUCAGAAUACCUUCGUGCAUUUAUUUACUGAAGAUGGGGUUUUGGUCCUUAAAGCAUUUUUCAAAAGUAUUCAUUUCUAGUUAUUUUAGAUAACUCUCUUAGAAGAUUCUGCUGUCUUUCACCAGUAUUCUUAUCAAAUAAAAUAAAACGUAAAGAUAAAUUUAUCUAAGAGGCAAGGAAUAGAACAGAGUUACGAUGAACCAGCACUUGAAGAGGGGCAAAGAAAACAUGAAUGGACCUGGCUUCUGACAAGUGAUUAUGAUUCAGGUCUUUGCUGAGUGCCUCAUUAACAUAUUGGGUUGUGAUUUGCACAUCUAUUUUGGAAAAUAACACCCACGAGGAGUAUAUUUUGUAGCCUGAGAAGAGAAGUUUUGGGACGAUAUCAAGUUUCUGAAGGUUAAAAUUUGUUUAAGUUUCUGAAGGUUGAAGGUUAAGUUUUCGAAGGCUCUUAUGCAGGGAAGGAUUUGAUAGAUUCUACAAAAGUCCAGAGGACAAAACUAGAAUCGUAAUUAGAAGGUACAGAGAGAGAGCAUUUAGCACAGCUGAAGGGCAAACUUUCUUUCAGCUAGAGCUGUCAAAAGACAGAAUGGCUGCUGUGCAGUCAUCAAUUCCCCGAGAAGGCACAAAGGUAUCUUGGAGACACGUUCUACUGGCUGGACUGGAUGCUCUCAAACAUCCCAUGAUUCCAUAGAACAGGGCCUAAUAUCUUUUCUUUGACAAACUAUUGGGAUUCAAGCUUCUAAACUUGUCCAAUACAAAUCGUAAUUCUCAAUAAAUGUUAGGUGACAAUUUGAUAGUUCUCUGGAACAAAGAGAAAAUGGUAGAUCAUCAUAGAAACUAAGACAUGAUUACAAAAAGUAAUGGAAAAACACGAGUCCAUUUCCACUGAUCAUCUCUCUUUAUGCCUAUGAAUGAACAGCUCAUCCUAUUUCCAAGGUGAAUUAGAUGAGAAAAAUGAGUAAAAGUGAUGACAUCAGAACCUGUGUGGGUGAAAAAUGUCAAGCAUUUCUAGCAGACAUGGAUGACUGAAGAAGAAAAACCUCAGUUUGCUAUUAAGCAGAUAAAAUGGCAGCAACAUCAACUAGGUGAAACAAAAUCAGCUAUUUAAAAGCUCACUUGAACAAAGUCUUCCCAGAAACCUCUUGGAACUUUCUUUUUAAUUCUCUCAGGAAGAAGAUAACUCAAAAGUCGAAUUGAUAUGUCAAAACAUCUUUAAGAUGUUGUUUGUUCAACAUCACGACUAAAGACUUGCAGCACUAAACACACACACCAGUCUCAGAAGCAGCAGGCAAUGCAAGAGAAUCUUUCAAAGAGAGUAAAGGGCCAAAUGGAGCUCUCUGGGUCUUUCUCCCGGCCUCAAACUGUAGAAAACCAAUAACUGGCUGGUGAUGAUUUCCCUUGGGACAACUGGGUCUACUCCAGGUCUCCCUCCAGAAGAUUAUGCUACAUCAGGGCAUACAUGAAGUAUUCUCUUUUGCUCGAAGUUUUUAAAGAAAAUUGUGCUGAUUUACAGUACUCUAGGUCAGAACCAUUCAUGGGCUUCACAGACAUACAGAUUUCUGAGCUGCAUUCCCAAAGAUCACACUUCCAAAAGGCCUUAGGAGGGGGCUGAGUAUCUGUAUUUUUAAAGGAUCUAGAGGUGAUUCUGCUGCCCUUCCAGGACUGAGAAGGAAUGAUCUUGGAGGUAGGUGCAGGGAAAGUCUAGUGGUGAGGGGGAGUUCAAUGACGCCAGCAGACAGGUGGGAAUUCCAGCGGCUGAGGGUCUCUGGGAUACGGACUGAGCAGGGUGAUGGUUCUUAACAAUUUGUGGGUCAUGGACGUUUUUGAGAAUUUGAUUUAAAUAAAACUAUGAAUUCUCUUCCUUCACAUUUGCAAAAAGAACCCCCACAAAAUUAUGCCAAGAUUUCACAACCUUAAGGAAACUUAUGCUAGACAUUUAUAAGUCAGGAAGUGGGGACAUCACUGGUGCCAUAAAUCUCAAUAUACAUCUUUUACACAGGCUUGUUUUCUGAUCCAGACAAACAGGAGACUAUUACAUGUCCUUUCUCACUGCAAAUGAAACACAGCAGCAUGGCAGCAAUAUAGCACUGGUUUUUUAAAAAGUUUUAGGGGAACGGAGAGCAUGGACUUGUUGAGACUGACUUGGGUUUGAAUUUCGGCUCCAACGUGGUAUAUCUCAACUAACCUUGAGCAAGUAAUCCUUACUCUCGUCUCAGUAUUCUUUUCUGUAAAUUGGAUUACUAACAUCUCUUUUGUUGAGUUGUUGAGAGGAUUAAAUGAGAAAAUACAUAGGUAAGACAUUUUGCACCACGUCCAACAACUAGUAGGUAACCUAGGGAACAAAUAAAUGGAAACAAUAUGGCCCAUGACUCACACUGUUAACAAUAUGAACAAUCUUCCCUAAUGGACACAUUCCAGCAGGAAUAUCAGGUGCCCUGGGAUCUUUUACAGAGAUAUGGAACCCAAGUGGGUUUGGAAAAUUAACCAGUCCUUCCAGGCGUAUAGACAAUAGUAUCAGUCUAGUCUCAGCCUAUCCCAUAAGGCAGGCUCUUCAAACUUGGAUGUGCUUGUGAAUCACUUGAAGAUCCUGUUAAACUGCAGAUUCCAAUUCAGCAGGUUUGGAGUGGGACCUGUGAGCCCGAAGAACUCCUAAUCUCCCAGUGUAUAGCAUGCUGCUGGCCUGUGGACCAACUUUUGAGGGUAGAAGGACUAUCUGGAACCUCCAAAACCAAGAGUGGGGGAGAAAAAGAGGGAGCAAGAGAGAUUGGCUUUUAAAAUAAUAAAACUCUUUAGAAAUGCAUGCUUUUACUUAUUAUUGGCUCACUCCAACCAAUUUGAGCAUCCACCCACCCAAGCACAUAGCAUAAUUUUGGAGGCCACCACAUGGCCUCAGGUCUAAGAGUCACUACAAAUGCUAAACUGCAUGACCCCAAAAUGAUCUGCUAAAGUAUACGGAAUCCAAUGUUAGAUGCAGGAAGAGGGUAGAAUAUUAUAGGACUUACUGACAUAACCCUAUAAUGCUCCAGGACUAUUCAGAUUACAAGAAAGGGUAUUGCUCUCCUCAAUUUUAAAUUCAACAUUUAAAUUUUAAAUAUACAUUAAAUAAUUAUGCACAGUUCUAUAUUUUUAAUGUAUUUAUGAAUAAAUCAUAAGAAAUUUUAGGGAUUCUUAUAGGAUAUGUACUACUAUAUUUUGUUUAUAGCUCUCUCACUGAAGUACUUUCAAGAUUUUUACUGACCACACCUACUCUAAUUUUACCUCCCACUCCAUCUCACCCAUCUUCUGCUACUCAUUUAUUUAUUUCUCCGGGGACUAAGAUAAGGCCUUUACACAAUGUUUUUUCCACAAUCAAGAGAAGAGAGUAGUAAAAUGAGGGACAAAAUCUCAUACAAGUUCAAGCAGAUAACUAAACAGAUACACACUGCCCCCAACAAAGACCAGACAUUUCUGAUUUUAUAAUACAUUUUAUUAGUUUGUAUUAGUAUUUCACCUGUCCCUUCCCUUAGGGACUCUUUAAUGUUAAUUUAAAUAAAUAUUCUACAAGCAUUCCAAAGUAACAAAAGUGUUGAGGGCCAGCCCCAUGGCCUAGUAGUUAAGUUCAGUGCCCUCCACUUCGGCAGCCUGGGUUCAGUUCCCAGACA